rfam:Asian citrus Psyllid, Diaphorina citri - Florida Strain, whole genome shotgun sequence.
GCUCCCAUGGCCUAGUGGUCACUGCGCUCGCCUUGCACGCGGGAGACCCGGGUUCGGUUCCCGGCGGGGUCA